rnacentral:lncRNA from 1 species
ACUAAAACCAUGGCACCUCCCACAAGGAAUAAUCAAAUAACCAAAGGCCAGGUCACUGCCCUCACAGAGAAGAGUUAGACUUUUAAUCUAAACCGACCCUGAACUCAGCCUGCAGAGACACUAAAAUGAGGCUGUGCCUGCUGAGCUUGGUGGUGGGGAUCACCAUGGGGGUGACUGGGAUCCCCCUGGGAAAAGUCUUUACAAGGAGACAACAAACAGAGGUGGAAAAGGAGGGACAGGACUCCCUGGAGCCAAAUAACGAGUUGACUUCAUUAUAUCAACCAGAAUCUGUAUCAUGGAACUUAACUGAAACUUUUGAGGACACUGAGGAGGACAAGCCCAAGAAAGCAAAAAGACAACUCCCUAUCCUUGGUUCUUAUUCAGGAAUGACUUCACCUCAUCCCUACAGAGAACCAGUGAGAGACCUGAACCUUCCAGGGACUAUCCUACAGCUGCUUAACCAGACAAAGGCUACAAACAGGAGUGCCAGUGUGGAUUUCAUCCUUCAGAAUCAAAAUGGCAGUAUCACCAGAGAUCUCUGUGAGGGCUGCUGUGAGGAGAAAGAGAAAGAUCUAGGAAGGAAGUCAAAUGAGACAUCGAAGUAUCCCAAGAAGAAAAGAGUUGACCAGUGGUCAGUCCUUGGGAGAGUGGCUCCUCCACCUGGAAAAAAUUCCAAUAAUAUGGUGGCGAUGAAGUUGCAUAAUGACACUCACAUUGACAAUCUAGCCAAGAAGGCCCCACAACAGGCUAAUGACCUUAGAGGAAGGCGAUGCUCUGCCUGUUGUGCUGAUGAUAGAAACCUUGCGGUCCUUGUGAGAAGAGACUGAGAAGAAGCCAAUGAAGUGUUUUCUGCAUGG